UACGUAGGUGGCAAGCGUUGUCCGGAUUUACUGGGCGUAAAGAGCGCGCAGGCGGUCGUUCAAGUCGCGUGUGAAAGCCCCCGGCUCAACUGGGGAGGGUCACGCGAUACUGAUCGACUGGAAGGCAGGAGAGGGUAGUGGAAUUCCCGGUGUAGUGGUGAAAUGCGUAGAUAUCGAGAGGAACACCUGCGGCGAAGGCGGGUUGCUGGGCUGACACUGACGCUGAAGCGCGAAAGCUAGGGGAGCGAACGGG
rnacentral:rRNA from 1 species